rnacentral:rRNA from 1 species
GACGAACGCUGGCGGCGUGCUUAACACAUGCAAGUCGAACGGUGAACGAGGGAGCUUGCUCCCUCCGGAUCAGUGGCGAACGGGUGAGUAACACGUGAGCAAUCUGCCCCGAACUCUGGGAUAAGCGUUGGAAACGACGUCUAAUACCGGAUACGACGCGGGAGGGCAUCCUCUCCGCGUGGAAAGAACUUCGGUUCGGGAUGAGCUCGCGGCCUAUCAGCUUGUUGGUGAGGUAACGGCUCACCAAGGCGACGACGGGUAGCCGGCCUGAGAGGGUGACCGGCCACACUGGGACUGAGACACGGCCCAGACUCCUACGGGAGGCAGCAGUGGGGAAUAUUGCACAAUGAGCGCAAGCCUGAUGCAGCAACGCCGCGUGAGGGACGACGGCCUUCGGGUUGUAAACCUCUUUUAGCAGGGAAGAAGCGAAAGUGACGGUACCUGCAGAAAAAGCACCGGCUAACUACGUG